AAGUCGAUUUCCAGAUCAACGAAACCGAUGACGUAAGCCCCAACGAAACGAGUUACCCAACAAAUUCCCCAAAUUGCAUUUCCAAUUCCAUUUCCAUUUCCAAUUCCAAUUCCUGCACCCAGUGAAAGUAGUAGUAAUUAGUGAUUGUAAGAGAAUGAGUUCACGUCAAAACCCAAACCCAAACCCAAACACAAACACCAACCCAAACACAAACACAUCUUCUCUCACUUUUGAUCAAAUCUCUAGAUACUUCUCUCUGCCUCUCAACGACGCCGCUUCUACUCUCGGUGUAUGUACAAGUGUACUAAAGAAACUUUGUCGUGAAAAUGGUCUGGAUAGGUGGCCAUAUAGGAAGUUUCUAUCUGGAAAGAGCAUUGAAGAAAUUAGAAGAUAUGCUGCUAGAGAAAAAUACAAAGAACUUGCUGAGCUGUCAAAGAACAGUAGAGAAAGCUGCUGCCUGCUGGUUAAUAGAGAAGGAGUUUUUUUUUGGCCUAAGAUACAUGCUUUGAGGUCUAAAACAUUAUGGACUCCAAACAUGAAUUAGAAACUUGCUGACAAAUAUGAAGAGAUCCUGCCAGGAAUUUCUGAUUAUUCUUUCUCUCUCUCUCUCCCUACUUCCAUUUUCCUCAUUUUUUAAUGCAGUGGUGCACAAAAAUCAAACAGUGAUAUGUCCAAAUCAAAAGGUGCUGCACUUCCUCACAAUUUACAACAGCAAGGAAGCAAGAAUGUUCAGACUCUGCGAUCCCAGAAUUUGCUUAGCACAAGCUUAACAAAAGGAAUUGCAGCCUUGGAUGAAUUUAAAUAUGGAUUCCCAUCAAAUGGCUUGUCAACUGCCUCAAACAAAUGGUGGGGAAGCAGCAGCCCUAAUGGUUGUGAGGGAAAACUUGGAGAUGGAGUUGAGACCAACGAAGAUGACAAACAUAAAUCUGAGGAAAUGGUUGGAGACAGUCCCAGUGUGGUAAUAGUGGACAAAGAGGAAUGUGUAACUGGGAAAGAAGAGAGCAACAUUGGUCCCCAAGGAACGGGUUUAUUGACGACUGUGAGAAAAAGAGCUGUGGAGGAAGGACGAGAAGCACUUAAGCUUGGUGUAUUUCGGGGCUAUGGUAUUAACAAAAUAGGCAAGAGAGAGAGAACAUUGCUUCUCCGAAUAUUCAAAUCGUCAUUACCCAAACAGUGGAUAAAUGGCUCCUCAUAAAUUUACAGACGGAGUGCUCAAUCUUAAAGUUUGUUGUAAGGUACUAUUUUAUGUUUACUUAGUUCUUUAUUAUCAUUUCACAAUGACUCUGCUGCUAAAUUUGUGGAUGGCUUCAUGCAGUUACAUAUGUAGUGUGUUUGUCAUUUUACUUAGCAAUCUUCACAUUGAUGAAUCGUAGUGUGUAGGAUAAAUUGUCUUAUUGUCGAUAUAUGAUUACCCUUGACAUAUCCACUCCUCAA